GCUGUAUGGCUGAGAGCCUUUGCCUUCUCCUUAAGGAGUAAAUCAAACCAAAACAAAAGAAAUAAUGAAAAACAAAUUCUUACAAUUGAAGUUUAAAUUAAGAGUUUUUAUUUGCCUUCCCCUGGAGCAAAUCAAACCAAAAAAAACAAGAAUUUUUAUAAUCUGAUUUAUAUUACUCUAACGUAUAAUAUUAUGCUGCUUUAUGCCUACAAUCGUCGCAUAUAAUCUUUUCAAUCGUCGUAUGAUGCCGAUUACUUUACUUCAAAUCGAAAGUUUUAUAAAUCGCCGGUGACCUAUAGGAGAAAACACAAUAGCUCUGGCGAAGCGGUAACCCCGGGUUACCCCUGACCGGUGCUCAAACUAGGGAGCCGUGAAGCUCAGUGCGCAUGCUCGAAGCCCAAUUGGUGGCCUCAAUUUGCUCGCAAAUCAAUAAUGCCCCUUUCCGAGAUUCCGGGCGACCGGAGCAAAAUAUUCCAGUCGACGCUUGUUUGACGAUACGACUCCGUGCGUUCAUAAAAUAUUUUGUUUCCUGAUAGAAGUGACAAGAAUUGUUCUAGUCUUUUGAAAAUGGCCGAGGCACUAGAUCAAGGCGCCAGUAUUUUUCAGAAAUUGGCAAUGUACGACUACAGGAUUGGCGAGAGGUAUUGGGUCGAUGUGACUCAUAUUGUAAACCCUUACAGCUUCUAUGUGCGCCCUGUGGUCUUCAGGGAAGAUCUAGAAUAUUUGCAAGAGACUUGUGAUCAUUUUGACCCAGGUAUGUUACAAGAAGGCAAAAUCAUCAUUUACAAAUCUGAGUUUUUGGAUUUAUAUGCCAUUGAUUAUGGAUCUGAGGACAAUACUGUGCCGCUUUGGAGGAUGCGCCAUCCCAAGCAUGAAAUAGCUAUUCCACCACUGGCUGCGCAUUGUGUCCUUGCUGAUUGCAAAUCGUUGGACCCAGGCACAUGGGCUGAGGAAACUAUUGGAAGCUACGAAAUCAUAUGUGGGAAAGAUGAACGUGCUCGGAUGACAGUCAAGGGAAGAACUGGUGAUCAACUUGUUGUUGAAUUAGUCAAUUCAUGCCCAAAUGAUAUUGCUACCAUGCUUACAUUGACUGGCUAUACUGCUAUGGGUAGCUCAGCUGAAAUGCCAGGUGGUAAUCGUGCCAAUCCACCUUUGAUGGGCGAUAUUUUGGAUGCAAGCUUGUCAAAGUUGGAGAUGUCCUGCAUGUCAGAUGCCAGACUGGAAAAGAUCUUUCUGGAUUCUAUGUAGCUGAAGUUGGUGAUUUCAACCAGUAUUUAAGUGAUCGUAAUGAUUUCACUGAUUACUGCAUCUAUCAAAAAACUCCUCGAGCAAAUGAAUUGGUCAUUGGAAGGGGUGUGGGCUAUAAGUCUCAAUGCAUGACAAAAUUUGAGAGAUCAGUAGUACGAGAGGUCAUCUGCCCAACCAAAGUGGUUGUGCAACAAAUUGAUUGGGGCGACACAUAUGAGGUCCACAUAAAUCAACUGAAGCUUGUUAAGCCAAUGAUUUUUGGCCAGACCACAGCAGUGGCUCUUUAUUGUCGUGAUUUCUAAAGAGCAGGAGGAUGAAAUCGAACCAACUGCAUUUCUUUAUCCAGGUGUUGAAUUUUUAAUCACUAUUAGGCAAGUGGGUGAAAACUUCAAUACUCCCCACAUUGUAGAUAUCUCUGAAUUGUUAACCAAGUAAAUGUUUGAUAUGUUUUUUUAAACACUUGGUUUCUCAUUACCGAAUUAGAUUUUACGCCAUUGGAUACUGGGAACCAAAACAAAUUAAAAAAAAUAUAGGAGCUUAUAACAAUUAUGCUAGGUCCAGAUCCUUUUUAAAAUGGUCUUGAUUUAUUGUUUUAACAUUGAAAGGAAAAAUUUAAUGUUUUAUUUAUUAGUUAAUCAAAGAUCUAUGUUAAGAUAAUUAGUAUAAUUUAAUCUUGCACAUAUAAUGUGUCUAUUUAAAGUUAUAAAUGUAACUAGUUGUUGUGUAAUUGAUGUUAAUUAAAAUUUUAGAAAUAUUAUAAUAUUGAUGAAUUAUUCAGUAUUAAUUCCUGUUUUUUUGAGCUAUCCACAUAUAAAGAUUUUAUAUAUGUUUCCUUUUAUUGGCUAAUUUUAUAUCUCAAAAAAUUAUAUUAGUAUUCUGUUUAAGACUGAAUUUAGACUGAUCUUCAUUUUUUGUAUUAUCCAUUAAGAUUAUUUGUAAACUUAGAUAUCUAUGUUAAGAACUGAUUUGGAAAAAAGACUAUAUUUAUUAUAUGUACUCCUUUUGGAUAUUAGAAUAUAUAUUUAUAUACAUAUAUACACACUAAGUGCAUGCCAUAUUAAAAACUAUGAUCUAUUAUACCUAUUUAACAGUUUUGUUAUUUUCUUUUAAUUAUGUACUUAUCUAUAGAAGAUUUUUGUGAUUUUCUAAAAAUACUUUAACUGAUGUAUGCCAAAACCACAUUUUAGUAGUUAAAUAUAUUUCUUAUAUCUAUUUUACUUUACGACAUUAAAUGAUUAAAUGUAAUGAGUAAGUACAUCUUAUCUGCAGUUUUAACUAUAAGUUUUUAACAUUAAUAUAAGUAACCAAUGUUUUAAAACAAUUUAAAAAAUCUACUUCAAUGAAUAAUGUACCUUCAUAUUUAGAUGUACGCUUUUAAACAGUGGAUGUAAUUUUCAAAAUAAUAUGAAGUAAAAGCAGAGGUAAAUGAUAUUUUAAAACCAUAAACUCUUUUAAUGGAUGUUACAUGAUAUAUUUUAAUUAAUAUAUUUAUAAGUAAUAUUUUUCUUCUUACUGAUAAUAUUCAACUCAAAGUAAUGUUUAUAAUAGGUACAAUGACGUACUAAAAACAUCAGAAGAAAUAGGCUUUAAGAAGAACAACUUGAAGAGGAGAGAAAACCCACCAACUGACACAUUACAUUAGUAAUGUCAAGCUCCAGGCCAGUGUGAAGAUAUUACUUACUUAAAACGUCGUAUCCUAGUACUAAUUUAGUGUCCUAACUACAAAUUUACAAUAAAAUAGAUUCCAUAAUAUGUUAAAAUAAAUAGCUUGAUGUCG